rnacentral:misc_RNA from 1 species
CACGUCAUCCCGCCUGGGGAGUACGGUCGCAAGAUUAAAACUCAAAGGAAUUGACGGGGACCCGCACAAGCGGUGGAUGAUGUGGAUUAAUUCGAUGCAACGCGAAAAACCUUACCUACCCUUGACAUGUACGGAAGCCACGAGAGAUCGAGGUGUGCUCGAAAGAGAGCCGUAACACAGGUGCUGCAUGGCUGUCGUCAGCUCGUGUCGUGAGAUGUUGGGUUAAGUCCCGCAACGAGCGCAACCCUUGUCAUUAGUUGCUACGAAAGAGCAUUCUAAUGAGACUGCCGGUGACAAACCGGAGGAAGGUGGGGAUGACGUUCGUCUGAC